ensembl:antisense
GCCGAAGACUAUUAGCUAGCAACACAGCUAACGUUACAGUAUCUCAAAAUCCUUACAGAUCUAUUCCUUGUCGUGUCAGGCCAGUAUUGAUCAUGUCUUUAGCUAUUCUCCUCCAAACAGCGUCUCUGGAGAUGAACUGGUAGCUUCUCCUGCAUGUCUGGGAGAAGCGGCAGAGCGAUUUUGGAUCCAGAUAGGAGAGGACGAGGAAGAGCACAUCCUCGGAACAAAGAAUGCUUGGAAAGCAAUUCUGAAUCAGGAACAUAUUAAGCAAAAGACAUCAGUAUCCUAAGGUAAAUUUAUUACAGGUUUUUAAAUAAAUAUUUUCAUCAUUAAAAUUAUUUUACACAUCCUCAAAUAAAAAUAUAUUUAUAUUUGUAUAAAAAAACAGACAAACAAAAUGCAACAAAGAACAAAAGCUUUUUCCUACAGUCCAUACAAUGCAUUUAUACACCUGGGAAUUUACAGUUUAAACCACGGUAGGAAACCUGCGAUAAUCAAAAAUGUAGCUGCCACAUUUAAAUAUGUAUUUAAAGCUCUGUUUGCUUUAACCGUGUUUAUCUCCAGAGAGUUCCAGAAUCAAGAACCAGAGAGGUUACUGAGAGAUGAGCUGGGUAUCUUAUCGCUGGGUGGUCGAGAGGUGCCCCGGCUGCUGCCUGUGUAACCGAAUACAGCCUUGUGUUGUCAGUGCAUUCUCUCUCAGGCCCUUCAAGUCCCCUUGAGCAGCAAUACGAAGAGUUAUAAAUUACUCGGAAACCAUCGAAAUCAAAGCAGAACGAGAGAGGAUAGACGGAUGAAGUCCACGUACUACUAAAAUGUCAGCGCUUACACAUCCUGUGCUUCGCUUACCUAUAAUCUUACACAGGUCAGUACUAAAAGUCAGGGGUACAAAAAUAGAUCUCUUUUUUUUCUUGAGACUUUUUUUCUCUCCUUAUUUUUGUUAUUUCUGAAAAUUCAUAAAAAACUAAAGGUUAGGUAUAUUGUUGCUCAGUACAAAAAUUUGUUAAGAAGUCCACAAGAGGAGUUCAUUGUUUGAGAAAGUCUCUGGCUUUCGGUCCUCUCCUUUUCUCUGGCUUCACUCUUCAACGCUCUCCUGAGUAGCGGGUGCGUUUAGUCCGUCUGUUGAAAGGGUAGUUGAUGAAAUCAAAGGGUCUGUGCUCUGCGAUUUGGUGUCCCUUGGGCAACCUCUUCAUGAAGUGGACUUCCCGCUGGUGUUGCCUGGUUUUGGAGCCCUUGCGGGGUCUACCUUUACGCGUGAAGGCCAUGUACCAGCCUUCGUACUUCACAUUCUGCAGAGCCGUGUAGUUGUUCUCCAGGACUAUCUCUGUGAAAAUGCAGUCUUUUCCCAGACCAUUUUUCUGUGAGGACAAGACACAGACAAAAUUUGAGCUCCUGACUGAUAGCAAAUAUGAAGCUUAUCGAAAAAUAUUUUGGAAAAUGUCUGCUCAGGUUUACAUAGGGCUUCCCCACACGCACACAGCAUAUGCUUAAGUCAUUAUGAUCCAAGAUCAAGACGGCAGAAGCCAAUGACUUUCCCCUUUCAGUAAACACCGGUGUGGAUUCCUCCUCAGAGAAAAAAAGGUUCUUCUAACGUUCAUUAUAAAAGGAUAAAAUUGUAUAAUGUUUAGUGCAAAGAGUAUUACGGUAAUAUUUGAAUUUCUCUAGGAUGCUGAAAUUAAAUUUGUUUAAUAGCAUCUAUG